AUUGAACGCUGGCGGCAGGCCUAACACAUGCAAGUCGAGCGGAUGAAGGGAGCUUGCUCCUGGAUUCAGCGGCGGACGGGUGAGUAAUGCCUAGGAAUCUGCCUGGUAGUGGGGGAUAACGUCCGGAAACGGGCGCUAAUACCGCAUACGUCCUGAGGGAGAAAGGGGGGGAUCUUCGGACCUCACGCUAUCAGAUGAGCCUACGUCGGAUUAGCUAGUUGGUGGGGUAAGGGCCUACCAAGGCGACGAUCCGUAACUGGUCUGAGAGGAUGAUCAGUCACACUGGAACUGAGACACGGUCCAGACUCCUACGGGAGGCAGCAGUAGGGAAUAUUGGACAAUGGGCGAAAGCCUGAUCCAGCCAUGCCGCGUGUGUGAAGAAGGUCUUCGGAUUGUAAAGCACUUUAAGUUGGGAGGAAGAGCAGUAAGUUAAUACCUUGCUGUUUUGACGUUACCAACAGAAUAAGCACCGGCUAACUUCGUG
rnacentral:rRNA from 1 species